rnacentral:lncRNA from 1 species
CAAAGGAGGCUCAGUAAAUAGUUGCCAAUUAAAUAACUGUAGGCACUACAAGGAAAGAGGCCCUAAAGUCAGAGAACCAGACACAGGAGGAAGAAGAAACUUCAGAGAGGUGAAGCAUGGGCCAGUGCUUGAGAAAAGCAUUAACUGAUGCCAGGCAGAAGCGAGUAUAAAGUCACCAAGAUGAGAGAUCUUCAAGGUCACACAGCCCCUGAGGAA